UAACCGGAUUAGAUACCCUGGUAGUCCACGCCCUAAACGAUGCGAACUGGAUGUUGGGUGCAAUUUGGCACGCAGUAUCGAAGCUAACGCGUUAAGUUCGCCGCCUGGGGAGUACGGUCGCAAGACUGAAACUCAAAGGAAUUGACGGGGGCCCGCACAAGCGGUGGAGUAUGUGGUUUAAUUCGAUGCAACGCGAAGAACCUUACCUGGCCUUGACAUGUCGAGAACUUUCCAGAGAUGGAUUGGUGCCUUCGGGAACUCGAACACAGGUGCUGCAUGGCUGUCGUCAGCUCGUGUCGUGAGAUGUUGGGUUAAGUCCCGCAACGAGCGCAACCCUUGUCCUUAGUUGCCAGCACGUAAUGGUGGGAACUCUAAGGAGACCGCCGGUGACAAACCGGAGGAAGGUGGGGAUGACGU
rnacentral:rRNA from 1 species